UUUCCCAAACGCAUCUUAAGGCAUCCAAUGGUUCUAACGGUGAACUUAGCCGUAAGAUGGUUUUGAGAAACCGUUCCCUGAUUAACACUAGGGCAGUCAAGGAAUGGAACAGCAAGGCCACAGAACAUGACAUAAGCAGAGCUGUGGGAGACCACCUCAAGCCCCUGGUAGAGCCGGGGGUGGUGUUUACCACUCCACCACGCCUUCAGCAGGCUGGAAAAGCGGGAUUGAUCUGUUUGAUCCAUUUGUUUCAGUUUUCAGUAGUUGAAUCCUUUGACGUAUUGUUGAUUGCAACAUUUUUCAUCUUCAACAAAUUAACUGGGUUGGUUAAAAGGUGAUACCAAAAUUACAUACCAAGCACUAUUUUGAAAUAGUGGAAGAUAUACUGAAUUUAUACUAAGAUGGACCAAGAUAUGUGUUGCGUUUGCACAUAUUUGUUCAUUGGUUUUGCAAGAGUGUUGGUCAGUCAGUGUUCAUAUGUUCAAAUCAAAUCAAGCUUUAUUUAUACAGCACAUUUCAGACAUGGAUGCCACGCAAUGGCUUCACAGGAAAAAACAUGAAAUAUUUAAUAGACAAACAUAAAAUAAAAAAAACUGAAUAACUGAAAAACUAAUGAGCAUUCUAAGUAAAUUUCAUCGAUGAAAAUAUUAACAAUUCACUGCAAUAUCCAACCCAAAAUAUCUUGUCUUACUCCAUUGUUUUAUGAUAUGUUCUCCAGCAAGAAAACCAAAAAUGUCCCUCAAACAGAAGAGAGAACUAACAACAACAACCAACAAAACAGGUGUGGUUUUAGGAGGGGCUCUGAAAGACACUAUGAGGGUGUCCACUGAAAGUUGACUAGUAACAACAACUGGGACAUAAGACACCCACUAAAUCUGCCCAAGAAGAGGCAAACAAAAGAAAAACCCACACCAAACUUAAAGACAGGAAGUAAACCAAAAAGGUGGAGCAACUAAAAGGUGUUGACUCUCCACAUCUAUCAAGACAACUGGAGCACUGGGCCAGACACUCUUAAAUAAAACCUGGACCAGCUCAGGUGAAACCCCUUCCCACUAACGAGAUGGAAAAGCCAGCACAGGUGUAACACAUACUGACUAACAAGGUGACACCAAUCAGUGCGCCCUACGUACUAACGAGCUAUACGUGCUAAAAUCCAAACCUCAAAACAUAAAUGGAAAAACCAAAGACUGUAACACCUUAAGAGAAUGUUUACCAACAGAAAACAACUUCCAAUUCACAUUAUAAAUCAACUACAAUGCUUCACCUUCACCAAUAUAAACAUGGUGUCCACUGGCUGUCAACAAUUAAAAACAAUAUUUUAAAAUAUUUUUUCCCCACUAGCUUCUAGAACUCUCGUCCCCUUGGAACGAGCCCAAACAAAACUCAUCUCCAAUACGGAAAACCAUGCAGUCAAAAUAAAUUGUGAUCCAUGGCAAUGCACUGGUUAAAUGCAAAACACAAAACUUUUUAACUGCCCACCCUUGAGACAAUCAGCAACCAAGUUGUCUUUACCACAGACAUGUCUGAUUUCAAGAGGAAACUCCUGCAAUACCCGUAGUAACCAGGGUUCACUAGAUAGGCAUGUUGUUGGAUCGGGGCCCAGUUCGCAAUGUUAUGCUCUAGUAAACUUGGGUUGGCACAUGUGAGAAUUAACCCUGAUAUUCUAAAAGCAGGGCAACAAUGUCAAUAUAAUUCUACCAAAAAAUUGUCAGUUGGUUGCAUAAAUAAAUAUCAUUACUAAACGUUACAUGAAAUGAAAAUAUGAAAUAGCACCAAUGUCAAAAAACAGUUUUAAAGUGUCCAAAUCAAUAACCAAUAUGCAGAAACAGUUUGGGAUAAAUUGAAAACCUAAACAUAAAAUGUGCUAUAUAGACAAACAUCUGCCACUAUAAUUAUAUUACUUGUAUUUUUUUUAAACAAGCACUUUAUAAAUUGCACACGCACCAAAAACGCUGUUGUUUUGACGAGUAGCAAUAAAUAACUGAUAUCGAUUAGGGGGAAAUCAGGUUGUACGUGCUGUUGUAACUAACACAACUAAACAAAAACACAUGGAAAUGGGAGAUAUCUUUUACCUCACUGAUUAGAGGACAACCUGCAGAAGACAGUCAGCUACAUUUUGGAGUGAUGCCUUUAAAUGUAGGGGUUGCUAAACAAAGGAACUCAACACUUAUUUGUCAUCACUCAUCGAUAUCAUGCUAAAAUCAUUUGUGCGAGAGGAGGGAGAUGAGGUUGCACGUCCUGUUUAAACUAACAGCUCAAAAACCACACGGAAUCUGGGAAUAAUGUGUACAUCACUGGUUAGAGGACAAUUUGUAGAAAACAGCUAGCUACAUUUUGAAGUGUUGCAUUUUGAUUCAAGUGGGUCACCAACGUGGUAAGUGUAACACAACUCUUUUUUUGUUAGUCACUUUUUGUUAAAUCACAUUAAUAGUACUCUUCCAUUUCAGAGCCUGGAUUUCCCCCUGAGGCUAAUAUCCAUAUAAUGUUGAAAUCAAUUGAUAAGGUGGAAAACGUUUAGGGUUCUACAUUGUGACAUUAUUAAAAUACUCCUACUGCAAUGUUAAAAAAUUCUUCAUUGUGACAUUAAUUCAUUGAUAUCAUGAAACAACUCCUUCAUGUAUGUAUUUUCUAAUAUUUGAUCAGAGAUCUAUUAUCAGAUUAUCUCUGGUCAAAGCUAUGAGAUUUCUCUCCUGUGUGUGUUCUCUGGUGUAUUGUCAGAUGGCCAGAUCGAACAAAACUCUUCCCACAUUGAUCACAGCCAUAAGAUUUAUUUCCUGUGUGUGAUCUAUGGUGUAUUGUCAGAUGGCCAGAUCGAACAAAACUCUUCCCACAUUGAUCACAGCUAAAAGGUUUCUCUCCUGUGUGUAUUCUCUGGUGUCGAGUCAGACUGCCAGAGUCAGUAAAACUCUUCCCACAUUGACCACAGCUAUAAGGUUUCUCUCCUGUGUGUGUUCUCUGGUGUAUUGUCAGAUGGCCAGAUCGAACAAAACUCUUCCCACAUUGAUCACAGCCAUAAUAUUUCUUUCCUGUGUGUGAUCUCUGGUGAUUGGUCAGACUGCUAGACUCAGUAAAACUCUUCCCACAUUGAUCACAGCUAUAAGGUUUCUCUCCUGUGUGUGUUUUCUUGUGUCGAGUCAGAUUGUUAGAUGUAAUAAAACUCUUCCCACAUUGAUCACAGCUAUAGGGUUUCUCUCCUGUGUGGAUUCUCUGAUGAAUUUUAAUGCCUAAUGAGGUGAAUCUCUUCCCACAGUCAGAGCAGCAGUGAGUUCUCUUCCCUGUGGAUCUCUGCAGGUGUUUCUUGAGGUGUUCUGAUCUGGAGAGACUCUUCUCUGCCUCGUCAGCAUCAUGAGGUUGUUGAGGUUCCCCGGAGGAUCCACGACUGUCCCACCUCUCUCCUAUGUGAAUGACAAAGUCAGACAGACGGUUAAAGGCCCACAACAGGAGAAAUCCAUUGUUUAUUUGAGGUGAUGCCCAGAUGAUAAGGAAAUUAUAUGUUUUUAUGGUAAUGACUAAAAUAUUCCAUCCUGUCACUGUAUAAUUGAGUGAAAUGUAUCAGAAUCAUAAGACUAGAAUUCUCUGUGUGUUCAUAGGACAAGUUAAGACCUUAUUAUUUAGCAAUGUAGGCGAGACAGUGUGUGCAUAGGAAAAGAGGAACUGUCAACGGACAACUUGUGACAGGAAACUUGUGACCACUGUGAAACUGAUAACAGGAAGGAGGUCUCCCCACACAGGGAGGGGAGAAACCGUUAGGCUAGCAGUAGAUUGUGUAAUUAACACGUUGCAGGAUAUGAUAAGCAAUGUAUGUGUUGGAGAAGACUUGUAAAUAGCAUUGACAGUGUUAGAGAAGGGGGACAUUUAUAAGGGGUAUGGUAUAUGGUAUGACCAAAUGUGAGGAAUAUAAGGCUAUGUGCAUUGUAUGAUUUUCAGAGCUCGCUGAAUAAAGAACUAACCUUUUGCAGA